UACGUAGGGCGCGAGCGUUGUCCGGAAUUAUUGGGCGUAAAGAGCUCGUAGGCGGCCUGUCGCGUCGGUUGUGAAAGCCCGGGGCUCAACCCCGGGUCUGCAGUCGAUACGGGCAGGCUAGAGUUCGGUAGGGGAGAUCGGAAUUCCUGGUGUAGCGGUGAAAUGCGCAGAUAUCAGGAGGAACACCGGUGGCGAAGGCGGAUCUCUGGGCCGAUACUGACGCUGAGGAGCGAAAGCGUGGGGAGCGAUCCGG
rnacentral:rRNA from 1 species